rnacentral:rRNA from 1 species
UACGAAGGGGCUAGCGUUGCUCGGAAUGACUGGGCGUAAAGGCGCGUAGGCGGUUUGGACAGUCAGAUGUGAAAUUCCUGGGCUCAACCUGGGGGCUGCAUUUGAUACGUUCGGACUAGAGUGGGGAAGAGGGUCGUGGAAUUCCCAGUGUAGAGGUGAAAUUCGUAGAUAUUGGGAAGAACACCGGUGGCGAAGGCGGCCUGCUGGGCUAUGGCUGACACUGAGGCGCGACAGCGUGGGGAGCAAACAGG